UGACACACGCCUGUAAUCCCAGCUACUCGGGAGGGCUGAGGCAGAAGAAUCGUUUGAACCUGGGAGGCAGAGAAUGCAGUAAACCAAGAUUGCUCCACUGCACUACAGCCUGGAGGACAGAGCAAGACUCCAUCUCAAAAAAAAAAGAAAAGAAAAAAGAAAAUCCCGUGCCUUGUUUGUAGCAAUACUUGGCAAACCGUCUCACAAAUGCAAAUGGGUUCUCUACCUGGCCAGUGCCAUGUUGCCUGUUUCUUUACUGUAACUGUGGUGACAAAGAAAAGGGAAGAUGGAGCCUCCAUGUUGAACAUACCUGGCCCCCAGCACUAACUCCCUCUCUGGAUAUCUGGAACAAGGAGGACCUUAAACUUAACAAUAAAGCCAAUGAUGGUUCUACCAGUCUCCCCAAAGCCUCAAGUUUAAAAGCCAUAUGAACUGGCUGAUAGUGGAAAAUGGAAGCCAUGAGGAAAUCAGAUUAGAGUACUACCUGGUGAAGCCUGGAGGACCUACCAAGAAAAGCAAACUUGGAUCUUUGCAAGGUUAGAAGAACGAAUGGGAUCCAAGAAAAAGACUGGUCAUAUUCAACGGCUAAGAGCGUUGGAGAAGGCCUGUGGAGUCUCAGCAGGUCAGGUCCAUGACUCAUGAGUAGACACCUGUGUUUCUACUGCCUGGUGCCAUAAUCAUAAACAAGAGUAAUCAGCAAAUGCCUUUCCUUUCUCCUGCUGAUGUUUUGCCCGUACUCAGACCCCUUGACUUCUUAGCUUCUACCCAAAGUGAGCUUGUCAUCAAAGUUCUCCAAAAAUCUGCAGUGUUCUCUUGAGCAAAUCUGCUUCCAAGACUAUAGCGCUCUGAUGCAUUGAGAUGACAGCAAGCGGCAUUUUUCAGUCCUGUUACCCAUAUGGCUGCUACCACUGCAUCCUGUUAAAUAAUGUCUUCAACCCAAGAAACCUGCUUCCUAGGGAAGUUUCUCUCUCUCUGCAUUUGUUCCCACUAGAGAAUGACCAUCACCAGAUUCCUGAACUGAAAAUGCUGUUGACACUUUGGAAACUCGGGCCUCUAUUAAUAGGGUGACCAACUAUCCUGGUUUACCUUGAGUACAGGAUUUUCAAUGCUAAAACCAGAAAAACCAGGAUGGUUGGUCAUCUGCCUCAGACCUAAUAAAUACCAGUCAAUAAUUCAGCCAUGAGCUUUCUUAAGACACUGUCUUUUCUUGACUGUUGAAUAGUCUAGGACUUGAGUAGCAGCUCUUUCUGCUACUGGACACUUGUUUUACUACCCUAUUUCUCUAGAUUUUAUUUUGUGGCUAAUAAUUAAGACAUAAAAUCAUGGGUUCUGGUUAUGCCAAAGCACUCACUCUUCAAAAGUUUCCAUCCAGAGUUGGAUAAUCCCACACAGAAGGUGUUCUUUCAACAGACCAGCAUCCAAUAGACCCAAUGCAGCAUUUUUCUUCCUGGUUCCACAUUAAUACAUCCUAUCUCUGCUAUGCUUAGGUCCCUGAUUUAUAAAUAUUUCAGACAUAUUUUCUCAGGACACAGGGAGUACUUAAACUUCCACAUAGCAGAGAUACGACAUACAAUAAGCUGUUAUCUGGAAACUCCUAGUGAUGCUUUGAGUACUUUACAGUAAUCUUUCUGGUCUUCCUCUCAACCCCAUUAAGUUUUUCUGUAACUAGCUGGUGUAUCUGUCUCCAUCUUUAAGGAAUAAGUCCCUAUUUGCUCAUGCUAUAAUCUCCCUCAUGCUCUCCGUCCCUCCUUCCCUCUCCUUCUCUCUUUCUGUCUCUCUCUCUCUCCACCCUGAUUGUGAGAUGCUACACCUUAAUAGUUUUCUAUACCUAGAUCCCUUUUGAAGGAGUAAUUUCAGCCAUCACUGAAAUCUAUGCUUUUUUAUCUUGUUAGAUUUAUUUAGGACCUAAUGACUGUUUCUGAGCUAAUAAUAACGCAAUCAGCUCAUAUUUUUCUGAUACUCUAAGAGCAAUUACAUCUAGUUGCAUCACCUUUUCCUUUUUUAUUCAUGUAUCUUAGGCUUCUCAAGAUAUGAGACUAGCACUUGAGCCUGAGAUAAGCCUUAAGAAUUCCAGGAUAGUCUCUCCAUAGUUCCCUUUCUUGGAUAAAGUCAUUUCAAAACAUCUUAGUGGAUCAGAUUUGGAGCAGCCUACUUACACUGGUGAAUACCACAACUAAUAAAUAAUUGUUCUGCACCCCACCCACAUCUAAAGGAUUCAGGGUGUCUUUUACAGAUAUAGGACUCUCCUUUCUCUGUUUCUCUUCUCUCUCUUCUCCUUGAUUAAAGCUUUGCUUCAGCUGUCCCUGCUCACUACGGCACUGCACCUCACCAGCAUCUUCAUGGCCCUCACAUGGCUCAUGUGCAUAUCCUAACUCUGAUACUAAGGGAGGAGACCACCCCUCAUAUUGUCUUAUGCCCAAUUUCUGCCUCCAAAGAAAGAAGAAGUAAAAACUAAAAGGCAGAAAUGAAAUCCACAAGCAGACAGCCCGGCGCCACACCCUGGGCCUGGUAGUUAAAGAUCGACCCCUGACCUAAUCGGUUAUUUGCAUAAGAAAAGCACUGUGAAGAUCCCUGUCCUGUUCUGUUCCAUUCUAAUUACCGGUGUAUGCAGCCCCCAGUCAUGUACCCCUGCUUGCUCAAUCGAUCACGACCCUCUCACGUGGACCCCCUUAGAGUUGUGGGCCCUUAAAAGGGACAGGAAUUGCUCACUCGGGGAGCUUGGUUGUUGGAGAUGUGAGUCUUGCUAAAGCUCCCAGCCGAAUAAAGCCCUUCCUUCUUAACUCGGUGUCUGAGAGGUUUAGUCUGCAGCUUGUCCUGCUCUAAUACCUGUGUAGUUCAAGAAUAAUCUACAGCACAUUACACCCAAGGCUCUCACUUUGGCUAUAGUUGUGUCUUUACUGAGCCAUCCCCCAACCCCGCCCACAGUGGCAUCUGGCUAAGGCCUACCCUUUUGAAUAUUAAGGACACCCACAUGCACCUUGACAGAGACAUUUUGGCUGAAGGCAGGCAAGACCCAUCUACUGUUCCCCUAAGGUCAGCCCAGAGCCCUGCCUCUAUUAAAAACAGAUCCUUACCUGUGGAUAAGGUAACCUGUGGGUAACAGAUCCUUACCCGAGACUUGUGGGGCCCCAUCAAGGUGAAAGUCCCACCUGGGCCCGGGCAUGGGGAGUCAUGCCUGUAAUCCCAACACUUUGGGAGGCCAAGGAGGGUGGAUCACCUGAGAUCAGGAGUUCGAGACCAACCUGACCAAUACGGUGAAACCCCGUCUCUAUUAAAAAUACAAAAAUUAGGUGUGAUGGUGCACACGUGUAGUCCCAGCUACUUGGGAGGCUGAGGCAGGAGAACUGCUUGAACCCAGGA
rnacentral:lncRNA from 1 species